GCAUUCGACAAACAACACACACUUAAGCAUAAACAUCCUAGAUGGUUCCCAUGGAAUACCAUGGAUGUGAGGGGUGCUAAUACCUUCCCCUUGCAUAACCGACUUCCAAACCUGUUCGUGGUUGCGAUGACCAUUCUUUGGGGUUUUCUCGAUAAUUUCCCAUUCCUUUGGAAUAAAUAAAAACCGAUGGCGAAUAUGUAUUUUUC
rnacentral:lncRNA from 1 species